UACGAAGGGUGCAAGCGUUGUUCGGAUUUACUGGGCGUAAAGGGCGCGUAGGCGGCCAGCGCAAGUCAGUUGUGAAAUCCCCGGGCUUAACCUGGGAACUGCAUUUGUGACUGCAUGGCUGGAGUGCGGCAGAGGGGGAUGGAAUUCCGCGUGUAGCAGUGAAAUGCGUAGAUAUGCGGAGGAACACCGAUGGCGAAGGCAAUCCCCUGGGCCUGCACUGACGCUCAUGCACGAAAGCGUGGGGAGCAAACAGG
rnacentral:rRNA from 1 species